GUUGAGACUUCACCUGUAUAGUGGAUGAGAAGGAAGGACUCAGACUCACCCACAGGUGACUUCAUGCCCCUCUCGGGAACCGCCUGCCAGCUCUCAACACUAGCGUUCCUCACUAUGGGGACAUGGCCUGCGUUUAAGUCAAGAAGAUGUCUCUACUUUGGGACAGCCUGGAUUCUAACACUGUGAGCUGCCUUCCUGAAUGCUUCAGGACUACCGGAUCCCUCCACCAAUCCCUGAGCGAGUUUCCUAAGAAGUGAGUUAACCUCUUGUUUGCAAGCGUCAGAAGACUCUUCCCCAACCCCAGCCCUGAAUCCUCCAACCAGGCCCAGAGUCACAGCUCCCAGUCACACUUGCGGUAGCACCUGAAACCGGCUGCAGGACCCGGGUCGGUUUGGGUCGCCCGGUCCCCGUAGGUCUGGGUCCUGCUGGCCUGACCUGGGCCCAGCCUCACCUUGUCGGCGAUCUCCUGCGUCUCGGUCGUGGCCGGCAUUGUGGCGGAUGGCGCGCCACACAUCAUCUUGGCAAGCACUGGUUAGAAUAUCACAGAGAAGCUACGGAGAGAGCCAACUAGGAGACCUGGGUGUCUGGACCCUAGAAAAACCUGGCUCGGCCCCGCCCCUGGACCCGUGGCACGUGACAGAGCGAAGGGGCGGAGCGCCGCACCCUCUCUUUACUGUCACCACCCUCUCCCCGUUCCAGGCAGAGUCAUAAGACCCAGACUGGGCGUGGGCGGAGGGUGAGGCAGGGUGGAUACUUCAAGCCCCUUCCCUGAAGGGGCACUAAGAUGGGUUGGGAGGCUGGGAGUCCUGAUUGCCUGUCAAUGGUCGUGAAGUGAUUGUAGGGUGGGUACAGAAACCGUUGAUUGAGGACCUAGAAGUCUCAGGUUGCUGUUUCCCCUCUCCCCUCCCCCAACACGCACAUCUGCCCUAUCGUGUCCUCCCCUCCCCAACUUGGACUGAGUUUUUGGGUCCUGAUAACCCCAUGAAAUAAGACCUUAUCUGGGAAUUCCAUUCUUUCUGUAUGAAAUGGGUGUAGGAAUAGUCUUGUCGGGCAGUAGGCGGGGUUUGGGGAACCCAGCCCCACCACCAGGGGCAAAGCUGGGUGGUCCAGACUCCAUUCUCUCACACCCAGCACAGGCUGGGUACCACGAGGACCCCGGACAUGCUCUCUGACCGUUUUCUUGCUUGAGUGACCUUCAAACCUAUGUUUUCGUUUGUAAAACUAUCAGGAUUUGAAAGCGGGACGUGAUCGUGCACACCUGCUAUCCUGGCCCUUGAGAGGCUAACCGAGCUAGCCUGACUAUGCAGUGAGACCAUGGCUUAAAAAUAAUAAUUUGGGGCUGCAGAGGCAGCUCAUGGUAAAGCGCUUGCCACGAGAGCGUGACAACCUGAAUUUGAUCUUCGGAACCGAGUUAAAGAGCCAAGUGAGGGGCUGGAGUGACGGCUCAGCAGUUUAAGGGACCUGGCUGCUCUUCCAAUGGUAUCCUAUCCCCACCCCUGGCCUCUGUGGGCACCAGGGAUGGAAGUGAUGCCCAUGACGUGUUUUAUAAAAAAGAUAAAAAUCAAAAA